AGAGUUUGAUCCUGGCUCAGGACGAACGCUGGCGGCGUGCCUAAUACAUGCAAGUCGAGCGGAUCCCUUCGGGGAUUAGCGGCGGACGGGUGAGUAACACGUGGGGAACCUGGCAUCAAGUGGGGGAUAACGCCUGGAAACGGGUGCUAAUUCCGCAUAGGCUCUCUGCUCGCAUGAGUGAAGAAGGAAAGGCGCUAUGGCGUCGCUUGAUGAUGGCCCCGCGGCGCAUUAGCUAGUUGGUGAGGUAAAGGCUUACCAAGGCGACGAUCGGUAGCUGGUCUGAGAGGACGAUCAGCCACACUGGCACUGAGACACGGGGCCAGACUCCUACGGGAGGCGAC
rnacentral:rRNA from 1 species